rnacentral:rRNA from 1 species
AGUGAACGCUGGCGGUAGGCCUAACACAUGCAAGUCGAACGGCAGCACAGUAAGAGCUUGCUCUUACGGGUGGCGAGUGGCGGACGGGUGAGGAAUACAUCGGAAUCUACUUUUUCGUGGGGGAUAACGUAGGGAAACUUACGCUAAUACCGCAUACGACCUACGGGUGAAAGCAGGGGAUCUUCGGACCUUGCGCGAUUGAAUGAGCCGAUGUCGGAUUAGCUAGUUGGCGGGGUAAAGGCCCACCAAGGCGACGAUCCGUAGCUGGUCUGAGAGGAUGAUCAGCCACACUGGAACUGAGACACGGUCCAGACUCCUACGGGGGGCAGCAGUGGGGAAUAUUGGACAAUGGGCGCAAGCCUGAUCCAGCCAUACCGCGUGGGUGAAGAAGGCCUUCGGGUUGUAAAGCCCUUUUGUUGGGAAAGAAAAGCAGCAGGCUAAUACCCCGCUGUUCUGACGGUACCCAAAGAAUAAGCACCGGCUAACUUCGUG